UCAUCUUUAAGGAAUGUCUUUCUUGAUUACAGGAAAACAUUUGACUUGGUCGAUCAUACCCAUUUGAUUGCUAAACUAUAUAGUCUUGGUGUCAAACCAUGUGCAGUGAACUGGAUCACUGAUUUUUUACGUAAUAGAUGGCAGAGGGUGAAAUUAAACGAUAACUGUUUCUCCGACUGGUUAGAGAUUCCAGCUGCAUGGUGUCCCCCAAGGUACACGACUUGGUUCCUGGCUGUUUUUGGCCAUGAUAAAUGAUAUACCUUUCCUGAAGACUCCUCCAUAAUGUGGAAAUUUGCCGAUCAUAUCACGGACUCCGAAGUCAUUAAUAAAUCAGAA